UAUACAUACCCUAACAAGAAGGUAAUCAGUCCUGAUCUAUACAUACCCUAACAAGAAGGUAAUCAGUCCUGAUCUAUACAUACCCUAACAAGAAGGUAAUCAGUCCUGAUCUAUACUGAUCUAUACAUACCCUAACAACAAGGUAAUCAGUCCUGAUCUAUACUGAUCUAUACAUACCCUAACAACAAGGUAAUCAGUCCUGAUCUAUACAUACCCUAACAAGAAGGUAAUCAGUCCUGAUCUAUACAUACCCUAACAA